UACGUAGGUCCCGAGCGUUGUCCGGAUUUAUUGGGCGUAAAGCGAGCGCAGGUGGUUUAUUAAGUCUGGUGUAAAAGGCAGUGGCUCAACCAUUGUAUGCAUUGGAAACUGGUAGACUUGAGUGCAGGAGAGGAGAGUGGAAUUCCAUGUGUAGCGGUGAAAUGCGUAGAUAUAUGGAGGAACACCGGUAGCGAAAGCGGCUCUCUGGCCUGUAACUGACACUGAGGCUCGAAAGCGUGGGUAGCAAACAGG
rnacentral:rRNA from 1 species